rnacentral:rRNA from 1 species
UACAGAGGGGGCAAGCGUUGUUCGGAAUUACUGGGCGUAAAGGGCGCGUAGGCGGCCGGUUAAGUCGAACGUGAAAUCCCCGGGCUCAACCCGGGAACUGCGUCCGAUACUGGCAGGCUCGAAUCCGGGAGAGGGAUGUGGAAUUCCAGGUGUAGCGGUGAAAUGCGUAGAUAUCGGGAGGAACACCAGUAGCGAAGGCGGCUCGCUGGGCCAUUCCUGACGCUGAGACGCGAAAGCUAGGGGAGCGAACAGGAUUAGAAACCCCAGUAGU